AGCAGUGGGGAAUAUUGCACAAUGGGCGCAAGCCUGAUGCAGCCAUGCCGCGUGUGUGAAGAAGGCCUUCGGGUUGUAAAGCACUUUCAGUCGUGAGGAAGGUGGUAGUGUUAAUAGCACUAUCAUUUGACGUUAGCGACAGAAGAAGCACCGGCUAACUCCGUGCCAGCAGCCGCGGUAAUACGGAGGGUGCGAGCGUUAAUCGGAAUUACUGGGCGUAAAGCGCAUGCAGGUGGUUUGUUAAGUCAGAUGUGAAAGCCCGGGGCUCAACCUCGGAAUAGCAUUUGAAACUGGCAGACUAGAGUACUGUAGAGGGGGGUAGAAUUUCAGGUGUAGCGGUGAAAUGCGUAGAGAUCUGAAGGAAUACCGGUGGCGAAGGCGGCCCCCUGGACAGAUACUGACACUCAGAUGCGAAAGCGUGGGGAGCAAACAGGAUUAGAUACCCUGGUAGUCCACGCCGUAAACGAUGUCUACUUGGAGGUUGUGGCCUUGAGCCGUGGCUUUCGGAGCUAACGCGUUAAGUAGACCGCCUGGGGAGUACGGUCGCAAGAUUAAAACUCAAAUGAAUUGACGGGGGCCCGCACAAGCGGUGGAGCAUGUGGUUUAAUUCGAUGCAACGCGAAGAACCUUACCUACUCUUGACAUCCAGAGAACUUCCAGAGAUG
rnacentral:rRNA from 1 species